GGCCUUUUGGGUAUAAUUUAAGGUCUGACCUGCCCAGUGAUGAAUUUAACGGCCGCGGUAUACUGACCGUGCAAAGGUAGCAUAAUCAUUAGUCUUUUAAUAGAGGGCUGGAAUGAACGGUUUAACGAGGAACUGACUGUCUCAUUUUAUUUGUUUUAAAAUUUAAUUUUUUAGUUAAAAAGCUAAAAUUUUAUUGGAAGACGAGAAGACCCUAUAGAUCUUUAUACAGUUUUGUAUUUAUUAACAUGUUUAUAUUAAAAUUGUAUUUUGUUGGGGUGACGAAAAUAUAUGAUUAACUUUUUUAUUUAUUUACCAUUGAUAUAUGAGUAUUAGAUCCAUUAUUAGUGAUUGUUAGAAUAAGUUACCUUAGGGAUAACAGCGUAAUCCUCCUCCAGAGUUCAUAUUUACAGGAGGGCUUGCGACCUCGAUGUUGGAUUAAGAUAAUAAUUAGGUGUAGCCGCUUAAUUUAUAGGUCUGUUCGACCUUUAAAUUCUU
rnacentral:rRNA from 1 species